AACGAACGCUGGCGGCAUGCCUAACACAUGCAAGUCGAGCGCCCGUAGCAAUACGGGAGCGGCGCACGGGUGAGUAACGCGUGGGAACCUGCCCAGAGGUUCGGGACAACCGCGGGAAACUGCGGCUGAUACCGGAUGAUACCUGAGGGUCAAAGAUUUAUCGCCUUUGGAGGGGCCCGCGUCGGAUUAGGUAGUUGGUGGGGUAACGGCCUACCAAGCCUAUGAUCCGUAACUGGUCUGAGAGGAUGACCAGUCACACUGGGACUGAGACACGGCCCAGACUCCUACGGGAGGCAGCAGUGGGGAGUAUUGGACAAUGGGGGCAACCCUGAUCCAGCAAUGCCGCGUGGGUGAUGAAGGCCUCGGGUUGUAAAGCCUUUCGGCGGGACGAUGAUGACGGUACCCGCAGAAGAAGCCCCGGCGUAACUUCGUGCCAGCAGCCGCGGUAA
rnacentral:rRNA from 1 species